rnacentral:rRNA from 1 species
AGAAAUCCAUGAGUAAAGUGGCGUACGGGUGAGUAACACGUGGAUCAUCUACCUUUUAGUGGGGGAUACCCCCGGGAAACUGGGGACAAUACCGCAUAAGCUCGAGAGAGGAAAGCCGAAAGGCGCUGAAAGAGGAGUCCGCGGCUGAUUAGCUAGAUGGCGGGGUAACGGCCCACCAUGGCAAAGAUCGGUAGCCGGCCUGAGAGGGCACACGGCCACACUGGCACUGAAACACGGGCCAGACUCCUACGGGAGGCAGCAGUGGGGAAUCUUGCACAAUGGGGGAAACCCUGAUGCAGCGACGCCGCGUGAGCGAUGAAGCCCUUCGGGGUGUAAAGCUCUUUCGACGGGAACGAUAAUGACGGUACCCGGAGAAGAAGCUGCGGCUAACUACGUGCCAGCAGCCGCGGUAAUACGUAGGCAGCAAGCGUUGUUCGGAAUUACUGGGCGUAAAGAGUGUGUAGGCGGUGCUCUAAGUCUGUCGUGAAAUCUCCCGGCUUAACUGGGAGGGUGCGGCGGAAACUGGAGUGCUAGAGGGUGGGAGAGGUAAGCGGAAUUCCUGGUGUAGCGGUGAAAUGCGUAGAUAUCAGGAGGAACACCUGUGGUGUAGACAGCUUACUGGACCACUUCUGACGCUGAGACACGAAAGCGUGGGUAGCAAACAGGAUUAGAUACCCUGGUAGUCCACGCCCUAAACGAUGCAUACUUGGUGUGAGCGAUUCAUUUCGUUCGUGCCGAAGCUAACGCGUUAAGUAUGCCGCCUGGGGAGUACGGUCGCAAGGCUGAAACUCAAAGGAAUUGACGGGGGCCCGCACAAGCGGUGGAGCAUGUGGUUCAAUUCGACGCAACGCGAGGAACCUUACCUGGGCUCGAACGGCUUAAGAUCAUCCUUGGAAACAGGGACUUCUCGCAAGAGACUUGAGUCGAGGUGCUGCAUGGCUGUCGUCAGCUCGUGUCGUGAGAUGUUGGGUUAAGUCCCGCAACGAGCGCAACCCUUGUCCUGUGUUGCCAUCAUUAAGUUGGGAACUCUCAGGAGACCGCCAGCGAUAAGUUGGAGGAAGGUGGGGAUGAUGUCAAGUCAUCAUGGCCUUUAAGUCCAGGGCUACACACGUGCUACAAUGGGCGGUACAAAGCGCUGCAAACCCGCGAGGGGGAGCUAAUCGCAAAAAACCGUCCUCAGUUCGGAUCGCAGGCUGCAACUCGCCUGCGUGAAGCUGGAAUCGCUAGUAAUGGCGCAUCAGAACGGCGCCGUGAAUACGUUCCCGGGCCUUGUACACACCGCCCGUCACAUCACGAAAGUGGAUUGUACUAGAAGUCCCAAUUUAACGGGCCCAAGGUAUGAUUCAUGAUUGGGGUGAAGUCGUAACAAGGUA